GGGGAGUUGUUGCGGCCGCGAUGCUGGUGGCGGCGGCCGCGGAGCGGAACAAGGAUCCCAUCCUGCACGUGCUGCGGCAGUACCUGGACCCGGCCCAGCGCGGCGUCCGCGUACUCGAGGUGGCCUCGGGCUCCGGCCAGCACGUGGCGCACUUCGCGCGGGCCUUCCCCCUGGCCGAGUGGCAGCCGUCGGACGUGGACCAGCGCUGCCUGGACAGGUGCGGCCCCCGGGGCGGCCACUCCGGUGCGGCGAUCCGGGGCCUCAAGAGCCCACGCCCCGCAGCCCCGGAGGAAAAGGAUGCGGCUUGGGCUCUGAGGGUGCGGGGUGGGAGCCUGGGGGUGCCCCCGGGGCAGGCCCUAGCUGUGCGGCCCCCGCGGCUGCGGAAGUGGGUGGGCCUCGGGGUCCCCCUUCCCAGCCGCUUUGGCCUCCGCUCCUCAACGUGCCCCCCAGCCUCCCCUAAGAAAGUCUGUGGGGGUGUCGGAAAGGCGGGUGCGCAGGACUCGGCCCCCACCCAAGCGUUCCCCUCCUGCAGCAUCGCGGCCACCACGCAAGCCCAGGGGCUGACCAACGUGAAGGCCCCGCUGCACCUGGACGUGACGUGGGGCUGGGAGCACUGGGGCGGGAUCCUGCCGCAGUCGCUGGACCUGUUGCUCUGCAUCAACAUGGCCCAUGUCAGCCCCCUGCGCUGCACGGAGGUCUGUGGGGAGCCCAGCAAGGGUGUCUGCCGUGGCACUCCUCACCCUGCAUGGGGGCAGCCGGGAUGCCAGAUAUACCCCCAUCACAGUUGGGGUGAGGGUCUCCAGCCUCCCCCAUCACAGUCGGGGUGAGGGUCUCCAGCCUCCCCCAUCACAGUCGGGGUGAGGGUCUCCAGCCUCAGGGCCUGGCUUCUGUUGGGGGCAGCACCUCACUGCCGUCCUGUUCCCUACUCCCCAGGGGCUCUUCAGAGCAGCAGGAUGCCUGCUCAAACCCAGGGCCCUGCUCAUCACCUACGGGGUGAGUGGGCCUGUCCAUGGCGGGCCUCCCGCUCCCAGUCCUAGCUGCUCUCUCCUGCCCUACUGAGAGUCCUCCCUCCUGGGCUCCCUGCCCCCCACCCAGCCACCAGCACGGCCUCCCCUCCACUUCCACUCUACCCCUCCCUGGGUCACCUGCCAGCCUCCCUAACCCCCUUGCCCACCAGCCUGGCCUUGGCUGACUCCCUCUUGGGGACAGGGAGGGGGUGCCCUUUCAUUCUCCGAACCCCAGCCUGCGAGUCUCUCCCAGGCUCUCUGGGACAUACCCAACCUUGGUCCAGUGGGCUGUGUCCCCAUGCCCGCAGCCCUAUGCCAUCAAUGGGAAGAUCUCCCCCCAGAGCAACGUGGACUUUGACCUGAUGCUCAGAUGCAGGAACCCAGAAUGGGGGCUUCGGGACACAGCCCUCCUGGAGGACCUGGGAAAGGCCAGUGGCCUGCUCCUGGAGAGGAUGGUAGGUGGGGGAGCGGGGGCCCAGGCAACCUCUCUAGGGGUUGAGGGCCAUCCUCCAGCAAAGCGUUUCUCCAGGUGGACAUGCCAGCCAACAACAAAUGCCUGAUCUUCCGGAAAAACUAAGCCCCUUCUUCACCCCCCGCACAUCUGCAUUCCUGCCGGAGGCUCUGUGAGGCACGAACCCUGCCUCCCUAGGCCGGACCUUGUGGAAGACAGCCCCACCCAGUCUGUGCUCUCAGCCUGUGGCCCAAGGAUGCAGCCUGCUCAGAAUAAAGCAUGUCCUGC
rnacentral:sRNA from 1 species